CCUACGGGUGGCAGCAGUGAGGAAUAUUGGUCAAUGGGCGAGAGCCUGAACCAGCCAAGUCGCGUGAGGGAGUACUGCCCUAUGGGUUGUAAACCUCUUUUGUCGGGGAGCAAAAGCCGGACGUGUCCGGCUGUGAGAGUACCCGAAGAAAAAGCAUCGGCUAACUCCGUGCCAGCAGCCGCGGUAAUACGGAGGAUGCGAGCGUUAUCCGGAUUUAUUGGGUUUAAAGGGUGCGCAGGCGGAUUUUUAAGUCAGCGGUAAAAUCGUGGGGCUCAACCCCAUCCAGCCGUUGAAACUGGGGAUCUAGAGUGGGCGAGAGGUAUGCGGAAUGCGUGGUGUAGCGGUGAAAUGCAUAGAUAUCACGCAGAACCCCGAUUGCGAAGGCAGCAUACCGGUGCACAACUGACGCUCAGGCACGAAAGCGUGGGUAUCGAACAGGAUUAGAUACCCCUGUAGUC
rnacentral:rRNA from 1 species